GGGCCGUUAGCUCAGUUGGCAGAGCGGGUGACUCUUAAUCACUAGGUCGAAGGUUCGAGCCCUUCACGGCCCACCA
rnacentral:tRNA from 3 species